rnacentral:rRNA from 1 species
UACAGAGGGGGGCAAGCGUUGCUCGGAAUCACUGGGCGUAAAGCGCGUGUAGGCGGCCCACUAAGUCUGAUGUGAAAGCCCGGGGGCUCACCCCCCGGAAGUGCAUUGGAAACUGGUGGACUAGAGUCCCGGAGAGGAGAGUGGAAUUCCUGGUGUAGCGGUGAAAUGCGUAGAUAUCAGGAGGAACACCAGGUGGCGAAGGCGGC